rnacentral:rRNA from 1 species
UACGUAGGGUGCAAGCGUUGUCCGGAAUUACUGGGCGUAAAGCGCACGUAGGCGGCUUUGCAAGUCAGAGGUGAAAGCCCGGGGCUCAACCCCGGAAUUGCCUUUGAGACUGCAUCGCUAGAAUUGUGGAGAGGUAAGUGGAAUUCCGAGUGUAGAGGUGAAAUUCGUAGAUAUUCGGAAGAACACCAGUGGCGAAGGCGACUUACUGGACACAUAUUGACGCUGAGGUGCGAAAGCGUGGGGAGCAAACAGG